UACGGAGGGUGCAAGCGUUAUCCGGAUUUACUGGGUUUAAAGGGUGCGUAGGCGGGCCUGUAAGUCAGUGGUGAAAUCUUCCCGCUUAACGGGAAAACUGCCAUUGAUACUAUAGGUCUUGAAUUCAGUUGAGGUGGGCGGAAUGUGUCGUGUAGCGGUGAAAUGCUUAGAUAUGACACAGAACACCGAUUGCGAAGGCAGCUCGCUAAACUGACAUUGACGCUGAGGCACGAAAGCGUGGGGAUCAAACAGGAUUAGAUACCCUGGUAGUCCACGCCCUAAACGAUGAUUACUCGAUCUGUGCGAUACACUGUACGGGUCUAUGCAAAAGCAUUAAGUAAUCCACCUGGGGAGUACGACCGCAAGGUUGAA
rnacentral:rRNA from 1 species